UUUUUUUUUUGUUGGAUUCUUUUUUUUCUAGUGUUUUGGCUAUUUUCGAUUAGCUAUACCAUGUAUAUUGUUUAGAAAAAUGAUGGCAUGUGAAGUAACACCACCACAAUAGGUGGGUUGUUGCUAUGCACCCUUGCUUCUUUCUGGUGUGUAGCUUGUCAAAACUUAUUAAUCUUAAUGUGAUUAUGUGUUACUGUUCAAAGUCAGUAUCAUAAUAUCGAGUUGUAAUAUCCCAGGGGCGCUUACCUGAUGGUAGAAAGGUUGCUGUAAAGAGGAUCAUACAAUCUUCUCAAGUUGAUUAAGGUGGUGAGGCUUUCAUGAGAAAGUGGACGUCAUGUCGAAGCUCAAGCAUAGCAACCUUGUUCAACUCCUCCAUUACUGCAAGGAUGGGAAUGAGCGGAUACUAGUCUACGAGUACAUGAAGAACGAGAGUUUGGACCUCUACAUAUCUGGUACAUCACAAUACACAUAAGUAUACAAUAUACAUUAACAUGUGUCUUACGGUCAUAAUCUCUGCUAUCUAUGGAACUAACAGGAGAAGAUCCAAAACUUCAUGCUUUGCUGAAUUGGGAGCGUAGGCUGGAAAUAAUUCGAGGGGUUGCAAAAGGUGUUUUCUUAUCUUCAUGGACUAAACGAGGAAGUGAUUCACAGAGAUCUAAAACCGUCCAAUAUUCUUCUGGAUGACAAUUGGAGGCCUAAGAUCGCAGACUUUGGCACUGCAAAAUUCUUUGUUGUUGACCAGACAGAUCCAACACUAGUACAAACAGCGCAUGAUCAAAACCUGAAGUCCCUAGCUACUGUUUCAAUUCAUAGCAGCUAGGCUUUUAUUAUUUUUCCUUUUUGGAAAAAGUUCAAAUUACUCCCCUAAAGUAUAACCAAAGUCUGAAUAACCCCCUAAAGUAUUUUUUGUUCAGUUUACCCCUUAAACUAUGCCAUUUGGUUCAAUUUACCCCUUAACACAAUUUGCCUCUUUUGUUUCUCUAUGCACAAGUGGAAUCUUAAGUUCAAAUUUUGCAAGAUAAUAGCAGACAUCAUAAGACAUGUUAGAAAAAUAUAUCAUAAUUUUUUUAUCAUUAUUUUGAUAGGGUAGGAUAUUUAAUGGCAAAAUCUAUACUAGAGAUACAAAAUUAUAUAAAUAAUAAUGAAAAAUUCAUAAAAUAUUUUUUAAUAUAGAUUAUGAUGUCAACUACCACCAUCCAAAUAUCAAAUUAAAAUUCAACUUGUGUAUGGAGAAAUAAAAAGGACAAAUUGCAUUAUGGGGUAAGUUUAACCAAAUAGCAUAGUUUAGGGGGUAAAUUGAACCAAAACAUAGUUUAGGGGGUUAUUUGGACUUUCCUGAAGGGAGUAAUUUGAACUUUUUCCCUUUUUGUACAUAGUAUUUCACAUUACAUGCCGACGCGGAAUUUUAAUAGAUGACCUUUUUCUUUUACCAGUAUAGAUCCUUUAUUGUUAAGGUUUUGAUAUUGAACUGUUUUCUUUUUACCGAAGGGGGUACACGGCUCCAGAAUACAUGAUGGAACGGUAUUUAACGCUCAAGUGCGAUUUGUACAGCUUUGGAGUUAUCAUGCUGGAGAUAGUCAGUGGCCAAAAGAACAGAAACACACCAACGCUCCUUUCUGAUGUGAGCAUACUGCUGCCAGAAAUUAUGCAAAGACCUUUUUCAUUUUUGGGCAAGUAUAUAUGACAGUUGUUUAACCCUUUGCAGGCCUGGGAAUCUUGGAAUCAACAUAGGAUCACUGAGCUUCUGGAUUCAGCAGUUUCCCAACCGGAGCCUGAGCUCCUGUUCGAACUGGAGAGAUGUUUGCAGAUAGGCCUUCUCUGCGUGCAGCAAUCGCCCAACGACAGGCCUACCAUGUAUGCAGUGAUUACAAUGCUCAACAACAGCAGCUCACAGAUCCGUGCCCCUAAAAGGCCAGUGUUCGACAGCAUAACCGAGCCUUCUCUCCGCAAGAAAGAUGGCUCGACGCAGGAAGAAGCAUCCAGCACGUCGCACGGCAGCUACACGAUCUACCUCUCAUAGCAGGGAAAGGAGCGAAAGUAGCUAUAGGUCAAUAUAUGAUUUGUGAGCCGAAUCCUUUUAUUAAUUCCUUUCGGUUUGGGUAUGCUACAAAAAAAAUCAUUUGGUUUUGGGUUCUUGAUUGUGUUAUCUCAAUCUACCAGGGUGUCGCUUGUUAUGUGUGUUCUCUUUUGUUCCUUGCAUCGCCUUUGUUUUCCUUCCUUUCUUUGUGUGUACCCAUAACUGGUUUAGAAUUUUGUAAACCAGAAUAUUUUUCUCUUUUUUUGGCCAAAAAAACUAAAGCAGGUCACUUCUUGAGUUGUCGCCAAAUCUGAGUAAAGUGAAGCAAAUAAACCCAAAUUAAAUGAUCUAUUUGCUAUUGCUUUCUCGGUUGGUAGUUGGCACAUAUAGAGGCCGGAGAUUAUUUCCUUAACUUUUUUUAGGAAAAUUAUUUCCUUAACCUAAUAGCUAGACAAUAGCAAAUCAUGUGAAGGUUGACCACGGGAUCAAGAGUCAGCCGGUCCGGGCCAAUCACGUGAGGUUGACCACGGUAGACGGGUCGUCCACGAUGGCGCCGCCGCCGGUCGCUUCACCGGCGAGAAGAGGCCUCGUCGUUCGACACUCGAGGACGGGCCUCCUUGGCUGGUCCAGCUGCGAGGUCCUGCUGGUCAGCGUGGCGAGAGCUGCCGACAUGGCCGGCCUGUGGCCGGGCGACCGCUGCACGCAGAGGAGGCCGAUAUGGAUGCACCUCCGCAGCUCGGACAGGAGGUCGGCGUCGGAGUCGGAGCAAGGUCGCGGCACCGCCAGGUCGAGGAGGUCCAUGAUCCUGUGCUCUUCCCAGAGCUUCCAUGCCUGCAAAAUCACUGCAAAUUCAGCAUGUUUACCUGAACAGAUGCCAACGGAAAAGGACGUCGCGUGCUCACAUGCGAGAGGAGGCUUGGCUCGGCGCUGUUCCUCCGGCCGCUGACGACCUCGAGCAGCACGACGCCGAAGCUGAAGACGUCGCAUUUCAGCGUCAUGUCCCCGUCCUUGGCGUACUCCGGCGGCGCGUAUCCCCUUCGUGCAACUUGCCCGUGUCAGUCGAUGCUGAAGUUUAGCUGUGUACGCUCUGAUGUCAAGAACAGAAGCUACUCACGGUGAAACCACUACAGUUUGCGUCCCUGUCUGAUCGACACGGAACAGCUUCACCGUGCCGAAGUCUGCUAUCUUAGGCUUCUAUCGGCUGUCCAGAAGCACAUUGGACGGCUUAAGAUCUCGGUGGAUCACGAUCUCGCCUGUCCCCUCAUGAAGGUAGCAGACGCCUCGAGCGAUUCCAUGGAUGAUCUCCAACCUCGUCGGCCAACUCAAUGAAGCACGAACGCUGAGUUUUCCUGUCAGUUCCAGUUUUUGAAGCAAUGAAGUUUCAAGUUGUGUAGCAAUGAUACAUCAAGAAAUGCAGGGUCAGUGCGUACCAAAUAUGUAGAGAUUCAGGCUCCUGUUCUGCAUGUACUCGUACACCAGCAGCCGCUCGUUGCCCUGGUCGCAGAACGCGAGGAGCCGGACUAGGUUGUCGUGCCGGAGCUUGGACAUGACCGCCACUUCCCUCGUGAAAUCGUCCAGGACUCUGUUUGGCAGGGAUGAAAGCUUAAGCCUCUUCACGGCGACCUUUCUCCCAGGUAGUCCUCCGGCCAGAGGAUGAUCAUUCGGUAGCUGACCCUGCAAACAGUCAGCUGGAGAUGUGUUACACAAUGCAGAUUUGAAUUUGAAAAAAUGCGUUCUCUGGUUUUUGGACAAAAUCAGCACAAGCGUUUGCAGACCUCAUAGACGAUGCCGAAGGCGCCUUCGCCGAUCACAUUCGUUUUGGAGAAAUUCCCUGUGGCCUUCUCUACGGUGGCCAACAGCCGCAGCAUCCAGAGGCUUGUGUGCUUCCACAUCAGCAACGCCAUUAUUUCGAGAUACUUGUGCGAGACGCCAAGUUUUGUGUCUCAUGUUCCUGCAGAUAAUGAAGGCUACAGAAAGAAAAAUGGCCGCAACGGCGCAAACAACAGAUAUGGCUGCGAUGACGGCCGCACUUAUCCUCCUGGUCCUGGCAUCAUCUUCUGAGGAGAGUUGACAGAAGCAUGGCUCAAUUGCCAGAGCUGAGGUUUCCCAGGAAGAAUGAACAUGCCAACACUUGAGAACUUUUUACGCUGACAUACCUACUUCAGACUUGGCGAGCCUAAGGUAGAGGUCCUGCCCUUUGUCCAUGUACCGGACGUCGACAAUGUCAUGGGUCCAGAUGAUGCAUCCACUGCCAGCACCACCUCCUCGGAUGUCCGCGGCGGCGUAGGCCACGCACGAACAGUUUGCGAGGCACCUCGCGCUGCACUCCUCCACCGACGCGUUGUGCGUGUCGGGCAGCUUCACAUUCCGAACGAUCACGAACCCGUCCGUCGUCGUCGUCCCAUUGUCGCAGUCCAGCGGCACGUUCCGCCGGCACCCGCCGGAGGCCUCCCUCAUGCGCCACGCCGACGUGGACGCAGGGCCGAACCCCUUGGCGCAGCCCCUUGACGUUGCACAGGCCGAACGGCCCGCACCUGGCGUAGGCGUCGCACGUGUCCCGCGGCGUGCUGUAGAAGGUCUUCCACGCCCCGCUGCUGGGGUCCCAGACCAGGCGCUGGAUCGCGCCGUCCUCGGUCACCACGAGCCGGGAGAAGGGCGCGCCGGCCUUGGCGUGGUAGCUGUAGGUGACCUCGCCGGGGCUCGCCGUCACCUGGUACGCGAACAUGUCGGCGUACUACCGCAUCUCGGGCACGCCGUUGAACCAAAGGCCGUUCCACGGGCCCGUACGGUACUUCUUCGCGCCGCCGUGCCACACGACGUUCUCCGGAAGCCCGGCCGUCUGUGUCCCUCGCCGGUAUGGCCCGGGGGCCGGGUCGUUGGCCGACCGCCACGACGUGAGGUACCACUCGGCUCCGGUCCACAGAUUCUUGCCGGUCUUCAUGCCGGGCAGCAAGGUGUUCGACGGAUGGUCGAACGACUGCCACAGGACGGCGCUGCUGUUCCGGUGGCGGAGGACGACCAGGUUGCCGGAAUGCAGCAGCCGCGCCACCGCCGAAGCGUCGCCGACCGAGUUCGAGGACCAGACGACCUGCCCGGAGCCGUCUGGAAGGAAGAGCCUCCCGGUGUCGCCGAGCACCAGCACGCCGGAGGUGUCAUUGAGAGGCCGUUCCCGGUUGGCCACCCAGCACACGGCGGUCUCCGAGACGGAGAACCAUAUCCAAGGUACCUCCGGGUGGUCACUCCAGGAGAGAAGAAACCCAGCGUGAAGAACCCACCGGACGAGACGAGCGUCUCGCCGUCGGUGAUGUUGCGGCCGUGGUCGAACAUGUCGGAAAUGCAGGCGGCUGGUGUUCCGAGAAGGAACAGAGACAGAGAUAGGAAGACGAGGACAUGGCUGGCCAUUAAGCUCGUGAUCGACGGAUAGGUGUUUCCUGCUCUUGAUGAGCAACAAGGUCAUACGGCAUUGACUGCUGAUAUAUACUAGUAUGAUCCAACAUGCUUUACUACUCUCGAGUUACGAUCUCGAAUUCUAGGAGCUGGCGGAAUAUAGUAAUGAGAGUUGUCCAUGGAUUGGCGGGAAAGUUAAAGGGGCCUUUGGUAGGGCUCUGGCCUCUGGCUCCGGCUUUUGCACCGGCUUCAGGCCAAACCCUACCAAACGGCUGAGUUGAAAAGGGCUUCACAGGAAAAGCCGGUGUGAAGAAGCCGGUCAUCAAAUUGAACUGAGCAGCGUGAGCCAUAAAAUUAGCUUUCCCCGGCUUCUCCUCUUCCCCACACAGCCAUGUGCUUUAACUUUGCCCCUCAAGUUCGUCGAAACUACUGCAAAAUUGCCACUCCCCUUACCUUCUCUCCGCGACGCUGGUGACGACACCGGGCUCGGGAAGGACCAACGUCGGGGCGGCGCGGCAGCUCGCUCGCGGUGCUGCCGGUGCGCUGGUGGUGGCGCAGGCCGACGGUAGGCGGAGGAGCGGCGGUGUAUCGCGGGGACGACCGGUGGCCGCGUGGCCGCGCGAGGCGGUCUGACGGCGGCGUGGUUGCCGCACCGGCGGCGGAGCGGACCGGCUGCUGGAGCUCCUAGGCGAGCGAGCUCGAGGUCCCCAGGCUGCCGCGCGAGCAUCGAACGCAACGGGUGCCAGUGAAGUCAACGAAGGAGAUAAAGCACGCUCGGCAAAAAAAGAAAUAGGAAAAAAGGCAUGUUGGGAAGGGCCGAAGGGGAUAAGGCACACCCGGCAAAAAAAAAAAGGCGUAAGGAAAAAAAUAGUAGAUGGAAUAAAAGAACGAUGGAAAAGAAAAAAAGGAAUGAAAAAGUAUAUGUUCUUAUUUUGGACAUUUCAUCUUUCUAUCAAUCUCAAACUAACUCCGAGAAGCCAUUUUGACAAAUAUUUUUCAAUAGAAUGAGCCGGAGCCAUAAAAACCGCUUGAUGAGUCGAAGUCGGAGUCAUUUUAGCACAAAGCCUAAGUCCUGCCAAAGAGGAUCUAAGAGUUUGACAAUGUGACCUCUAUGUUUAAGCUGCUGAUGGUUAUCCAGUGAGUUGAAAAGGAGGAAGACUGUACGAAUUUAAGUUUGUGAACAGAGAAGGUAAUACAGGUCGUACCACACCAAUUAUGAGUUCACCACAUACAAUGGCCAAUCUUCCACUAAAUUACAGUCUACGCGCAAAGUAUUUCUUUUUUUUUCAAUCUCUGUGCUGUGACUACUGACUACAAGUACUGAAUGCCUUCUGAUCCGAGGCAUAUGCAACUUUACCAUUUUUGCGAGCACCAAUGUUUUGACUUCGCUCAUUCAUAUAACUAUGCAGAUACAAUACAAAGAUAAGUAAGAUAGGGAAAGUAAGGCCAACAGAUGAAACCAGUGCCUGGUUUGGCCUUCGCCUUUCUUUUUCAUUUUUUUGUAUUUUUUAUUGAGAAAGAUAAAAACAGAUAAAUUCAUUUGGUCAGACUAGGCCCAAGCAUCACAUUCGAUCCACACAAAAACAGCAGGAUACCAGUUCACAAGAACCUCAUACGAUUUAAAACAUUCACACAUAUAUAUACAAUAAAAAUCCCAAAUACACAAUAUACCCCGAAUAUUAUCUCUUGGACUAAGUAUUUCGUACAAAUACAAACUUAAUUAGUAAUAGGAAGGAUGAAGGAAGAGUAGGGAUUCAACAAAUCUAGCGAUACAAUGCAAGGCCAUAUGGACAAUACGGUAUGAAACUUCAGCAGCCUGAAAUAGCGAGACUAUCUGCCCUGAAGGUCCGUGUAGGUUAGUUGAUUAUCUGAUCCAGUAUAGUUGUCAUCUGCAGCAAGAUGAGGAACCCUUCCAACAAAAAAUGCAGCUUGCUUUGGAGAUGGAAUUGUGACAUCACCACUCAGCAUCCUGAGAACUAUGGACAUGGUUGGCCUUUCACCUGGUAACUCCUGAACACACAAGAGACCCACCUGAAUGCAUCUGCAGACUUCAUCAUAAGUGUAUGCGGUGCCCAUCAGUGGAUCAAUAAGCUCUGAGACACUGCCUUCCUUCCACAGGGUCCAUGCCUGGAAUACAAGUUGUGGAUGAGAGAUGGAAAGCAAAAAGCUGGUGAUUAUUUGCAAGUUUAACUAGAAGCCUUUCUCUUAAUGAAAUACGUGCUCAGACACGGUGGCGAAAAAAAGUUUAACUAGAAGCAAGGUAAGGCGUAGGAGACAGUGCUAUCUUACAUAGCCCAAGAGGUUCAUUGACCAUUCUUCAUCGACAAAAGAGCUGUUCCUCCUGCCGCUCACAAUCUCUAGGAUCAACACGCCAAAACUGAAGACGUCAGAUUUCUCAGAGUAUUUACCCUCCAUCGCAUACUCCGGGGAGAUGUAGCCACUGCAUUUCACAGAUUUUAGCACAUUAACUUCUGCCAGGUGAUAUAAUGUCAACUAGAAGGGGAGCUAAAUUGUCUUUUAUCUGAAUAAAGCAGUAAGAUUUGCAAGGUUGAAUUGCAACUAGUAAUAAGCAACACCAAACCAAUCAUUACAGAAGCAGAUGAAUACAAUUCCAUUUAUACCAUGGGACUCCCUGUUCAAAUAUACUGUACCCAGAAAAGAGAAAAACAGCCUUACUAGGUUCCAACGAUUCGGCGAGUGAGGUCUUGAAGCUGGUGUUCACCGAAAAUUCUAGCCAUGCCAAAGUCGGAUAUUUUGGGGUUGAAAUUAUCAUCUAGUAAAAUAUUGCUUGCUUUGAGAUCCCUAUGAAUAAUUUUCAGCCUGGAAUCCUGAUGAAGGUACAGUAACCCUCUUCCAAUUCCCUGAAUAAUCUUGUAUCGUAAUUUCCAACCUAAUACAAGCCUCUUACUUUCAUCUGAUAAAUUUAUAGAAAGUAUUAAAUGUUAACAGAAAAAAUCAGUUACUGGCUUACUCUGCAAAAUAUGCAUAUAUAAUCAGAGCUGCAAGAAACAAACUGAAACUUACUGAAAAUAAACGAGUCAAGACUCUUAUUGGGCAUGUAUUCAUACAGCAUCAUCUUCUCUUCUACAUGAAUACAACAACCAAAAAGCCUCACUAAGUUCCGGUGCUGCAACUUGGAUAGAACCGUCACCUCAUUCUUGAACUCUUCCAAUCCCUGCCCGGAGCUUUUAGAUAACCUCUUAAUAGCAAUUUCUUGGCCAUCUGGUAGUAUUCCCUGGAGAUAGCAUCAUGUAUCCACUAUUAUCCAGUUAUUUACUUCAUCGUAUCACCAAGAUGGCGAGAAUUAAUCAAACAAUCAACCAUAUUACAACAGUUGGAGAAAAUAUUUGAAUUAUCCAACACUCCACCUUGUAAACUGAACCAAAUCCACCUUCGCCAAGCUUGUCACUGAAAUUGUUCGUUGCUGAAUAAACAGUGCUGAACUCAACUAAUGGUGAGCUCAGAAUUGAUCCUUUCACCGAAUCAUCUUCAUAUAUGUUAUCAUCUGCAGCUGAUGUUGAUUUAACUUUUCCAGCAGUCUGAAAUGGUUUUUGUAUUCUCCGCACACCUGCAAUUUGGUGAAAAGUUCAACAAACCUACACUCUUUUUUUGGAGAAUUCAACAAAACUACAUAGCUAUCCAUGUAAAUUGAACGACGACUGUUACAUCUAAAAAUCUGCUUCCAUGGAAAUUACGCUGAUACAAAUGGUUAUAUUAAAUAUCAACCUGCAAAUUUCACAAUCUGAGCAACAAUAGGAUUUGAAAAGUCUCAGUUAUGCUGAUACAAAAAGGAAACAUCUUAUCAUACAAUUUCAUUCAAGAAGCUGACAAAAAUAAUGAGGUUAUUGAUUCAUUGUCAAUUUUGGACAGAGCUUCAUAAGAAACAGAUAAAAAGAAAGAAAAGGAAGAAGACUGAAGAAAAAAUGAAAGUCCAGAACUCGAGAUGCAUGUAAGAAAAAGGCAGAAAACAUCAUAUACCUAUUUGCUUGAUGAUGUGCCUCUUCAGGAAACCAAACACGCAGAAAUGCAUGAUGCCAAUCUGUGAAGCUAGUACCAAACUACCAAUACACUCAACUGAUCAAGCUUUUAUGCUCUGUGGAUACGAAUGCUCGUCAAACAGGAAAUUUCGUGACUUUUGCAAGCCAAUGAAUCGCUAAUGCUCCCUGUGAACAGAAGCACUUAGUCAACUAGAUCAUGUCGUCUGAUGAUUAAAAAAACAAAACCAGUAGUUUCAUAUGACGAUGGCAGUGGAACAUGAUGCUAUUAGAAUAGGAUUUCUCUUGUUUGACAUCUUGGCUUAGACGAAAAUUCUGAAGAGUCUGUACUUGUUUAUGUUAUCAAAUUUGACUAUUGCGAUAUGGCACCAUAUGUCGAUGCCACCGGGGAACGCGUAUCUUGUUAUAGAAGUAAAGAAGACCAUAUUUUAUUUGUAAACAACGUCAACAGUAGUGUUAAGAGUUAAAGACAGAGUUUUGAUAGGGACAGACACAACAAACCAGUAUCAAGCAACAACAAAGCUGGGAUCACCCCAGUGGCCAGCUCUGGAUGACCAACUCUGAAAAUUCAGACGCGGAAUGUGUAUGCCUUGCAGCAAUAAUGGACCAUCAGGGUCACACAUUGCUGAUAAGACACCAAAUUUCGACAAACUAUCCAUUCUCCUCACUCUUCAUGCCUGCAGGGGGAGGAUCAGAUUAAAUGCAACAGAUUUUGAGAAAUAUAAUUCUGUGCAAAUGGUUGGUUGAAAUAGGCUACCUUGUUACCGAUGGCUCAUUUGCCGUUUCUCCGGCCGGGCGGUGGCCAGCCGGCGGCCACGUCUUCGCGCUCGGUGUUGCGCCGCCGCCUCCCUCGUCAUCGCCGGCUAUGUCUCCGGCGGGCCGUGGGCGAGGCGAGUGCCCGUGUGGAUUAGGCCUCGAACGAAGCCGGGCCACGAUGACGGGUUUCUUGGCCCAUUGUACAAAGGACGCGGGAUGGCCCAGCUUUUCGUAGGGCCCAAUUGUUCCCGAUGUCCAUGUUGCUAUGUCGAUUUGGAUCAUAAUGGGCCAGUAAAUCUGCUUUUGAGAACGAAUUCGCGAGGGAGGAUGCGAUCCGGAAAUCCUAUUCAUCUUCGGCAAGAUUUUUUCUCCCUCGCCUUCCAGCAUUUGAGAUUGGUGCAAAAUAACUCGUACCGUUGGAUUCCACAAACCCUAACACACAUCACCCUACUCCCAGCCUCCUCCACUCCCGCCGCCCCUGCAGCUCGGCCCCAUCACAGCACGCACCGCUCGCUGGUGCCGGAGAAGAAAGAUCCAAAAAAUGUUAUGUUCAACUUUAAAAAAAAUGUUGGCUGAACUUUAUCGAAAAAUAUUGGUUCAACUUUUCUUUCAAAAAUAUUGGUUCAACUUUUGUCGGAAAAAUGUUGGUUCAUCUUUUUCUUAAAAAAUGUUGAUUCAACAUUUCUCUGUUGGUUCAACAAUUCUCGUCCAACAUUUUUUUCAUCCCCACGCUGGUUCACCUAAGGCUCCAACAGAACGGGAUAAUUAGCCAGCUAGUGCAGGCAAUAGUUAUAGCUAAUGGGCUUAAUUGGACUUUAUAGUUUCAAUUCGUAUCUAUGAGCCUUGGAUCCUACCAACAAAAAAAAUACACGUGCACUGCUCCCUCCCCAGUUCCCCAGUAGCAGCGGUCAGUGGCAGCAGUGAACUGUGAGAGGGUGGGAACUGAUAGGCUGACAGCGAGAGGUCAGGAAACUUUGCGUGUUUGAUUGAAAACGUAGGAUCAAAUGUGAAACAACUAAUCCAUUUCAUUUCGACGAUCCAAACGGAAUGAUCCAUCACCAUCCCUAUCUCUUACGAGCACAUGGCUAGUGCAGCAACGAAGAACGCGUGACGAUUCUAUGAACAUCUCAUCUCUUCAUUAUUGCAAGUGGAGAUAUACUAACAUAGUUGUGGAUCCACCUACUACAUUUUUCAUCAAACCAAGGUUUACCGUCUGCCUAGCGCAAAACCACAAGGGAUCUCGUUCUCGUUUGCCGUGGCUCCGGGGCGGUGCUGGCGGGUCAACCUGAAAGUUUGGAUGAGACCGUGGCAUGAUGAGCUCAUGUACGUAGUAGCUAUUUCGUCCUCGAACGAUCUGAAGAAAUCGUUCAACAGGUGGACGACGUUUUCUCCGCCUGGUAAACGCGAUUUCCGGGCCUUCAUAGUUCAACGGAGUUUAACGCGCCUAAGCAAAAGCAUCCGUGUGCGCGUGCCGUCUCGGUCGCCGCGCCACCCACCCCACUCUGACGGCGCUGCUGCGAUUCGUCGUCGUACUCGUACAGGCGCGUCGAGUCGCCAGAUCAAACCGGUUGGAACUUGGAACUGACCGGAAACCGCCAAUUCAGAACCGAAGACGAAGAACAACCAGCCAGCCAGCUAGCUAUAGGCGACACAAACCGAUCGGAAGCCUUGGCGGCUUUCCACGCGCCAGAGGAGAGGACGCGUCCACUCCACCCGUUUCACACCACGGGGCAGGCACGGCGACGGCGUCUGGAAUCUCUGGCGCGGCCCACUUGUCAGGUUCCAACGAGUGCGCGGCAGGCCGCGCCCACCACCAACCGACCACGCUUCCACUUGUCCUGGCGUCACCAGCGCUUCUGCGAUCGAGAUCACAUGCCACUAUUCAAACAAAAAAAAAAUGAUCACAUGCCACUUAGGUCAGCGACGAAAGGAAGGAAUCGCUGGAUGGAUCAGCGGGGCCUUUUUCUUUUUUUCUUUUGGAUGUAUGCGGUUGCGGCCGGUUAUGGUGCUCCCUCCUCCGUCAUCAUCGACUAUUCUACCAUGGCGGCUCUCUCGAUCCUGUAGUCUUGUGCGUGCGAUGACAACGACUGCUUGGUCGCCGCGUCUGUAUUCUACCAUGGCGGGACUAUUCUGCAUGCGCGAGCAACUUUUCUUUUCUUCACGUUUUGCUUCUAGUAGAUCGACAGUCGGUGGCAGCUGCUACCUCUGACAGUGGAUCUGGGUUUGUAUUUUUAUAACUCUGGACCGUGUGUCCUCAUGUAAAGAAACAAUUGGACGUUGCGUCCUCAUCUCAAAAAAAGAUUGGACAUUGUGUCAUCAUCUAAAAAAGAUUGGACAUUGUGCCACUGCCAACAGCUAGUGGCAGGGUCUCCUGCUAGAGAGCGCUGCUACUCGAGCUUGAGCAGAAUACUUGUGUCGCUAUGCCUCCAAUCGAUAUCUUCAGCUCUCAACAUAAUUCAACAGAAUACUUGGUAAGUUAAAUGCUGUUACAAAAACAACUCAAUAAACUGUUCUAGCCAAUCCAAACAGACAAACACCAUUUUUGGGGCUAAUAGCCAAUCCAAUAAACUUGUUUAGUGAUAGUUUUUUUUUAAUACAAGGCCGUUUUUUUAAAAAAGUACAAGGGUUGUUUUCUAUAAAUUUGGGCCUGUUUGGUUAUUGAUGCUUAUUUAUAAGCAACUUAAGUUGCUUAUUGUAGUUGCUUAUUUAUAAGUCUAGGUGUUUGGUUUGGGUUGCUUAUCUGAUUGCUAUUGACAUAUUUGUCCCUGCCAUCCCAUCUCCCUCUACCCCUAGUAAUUACCCAGCUCCUAGUCCUUGGCGCCAGAAGAAGCGGGCAGCGGCGGGGCGCGAGCGGUGGGUGGCCGGCGGCAGGCGGCGGGCGCGAGCGGGAGCGGCGGCGGCGGGCGGGAGCGGCGGCGAGUGCGAGCGGCGGCGGGCGGCGGGCGGAGGCGGCCGGUGCAGCGGCGGCGGCGGGCGGAAGCGGCGCCAGAGUGGUGACGGGAGAGAGGAGAGAGAAAGGGGAGAGAGGAGAGAGAAUGAGGGUAGGAGGUGUAAAGUGGCCCACAAGCAACCAUAAGCAACUCAAAAGUUUACUUAUGCAUAAGCAACUUAUAAGCAAGUCUAUAAGCAAGAGUGAUUGGUUCAUAAGCAACUUAUUUGCUUAUUUUUAAGUGCAUAAGCAACUUAAACCAGGCCAAAAGACAGUUACAAGGUUUGGUUUAACCAACGCAGAAGCAAAGGAAGGUGGGGAAAAAGUCAGAAAGCAAAGGUGGUGGCGUGGUGCUGGCAUCACGUGACGUCGAUGCAUGCCAAUGGACUGGAUGCUGCAGACUGGACAAUAAUGCCGAGCACCAUCCGACGCAGCCAAUUCGAACCCAACGGGGGUCCUUUUCUCUUUCUCCGCUGCUUCGUCGUCAGCGACAUAUAGCCUCGCCUCCAUCUCCCCUAUUAAUAUUCCUCUCAUCCAGGCCCAAACCCGCCGAAUCCUCGCCCUCGGGUAGCCGAAUCAACACACGAAGCACGCGGGGCUCCCUGAUUCUUGAGAUUCGAGGUAAAAUCCAUGGAACCGACCGCCCCUGCUCUAUCUUCCCAUGGGGAUUUCUUUCUCUUGGUUGCUGUAUCUGAAUUGCGAUGUCGUUGCUUGUGUUCGGGGAGGGAGGAUCUUGCUAGCCGCUGCUAAGAUCCCGAUCCGCGCGCCCCGUUCGGUGGUCGAUUCUCGCUCGCUCUUCGCCGCUUACCCUGAUGGAUUAAGCACGGUUCCCGUCCAUGGGCUUGGGAAUCCCAUUUUUGUUUCUUUGCGCGCAAUUUCAGUCGGUUGCCGUUAGUUUCGUUCUCCCCAUUGCGGGAACAUUGCGGCAUUGUUUUGUCUUACCGAGAAAAACUGUUGACAUUGUGAUUUGCGAUUUUUUUACUUAAUUAUUCUUCUGAGAAAUAUCUCUACCAUUACUUUGUUGGGAAAAAGAAUCAAUAGGUUCCGAUUUGUUUAUUCGCUCUAGGCUAGCCUUUUGUGAACCUUUUUUCAUCUUUAUCCCGCUUUUUGUUUCUUGUUACAUAUACUAAAGGCAGACACGCAGUGACACACAUGUAUAAUGCGAAUUGAGAAGAUGCUGAAUUGGGAGAGCAGUAGCAUGGAAUUGCAUAUCUACCUUAUUUUGAACACUACUUCCUGUUGGGCUGAAUGCAAUAUACUGUUCAUUUCCUUCCUUAAUUCUAGUACUAUUUCCUGUUCCUCAAAUUUCUUGUUGUAAUUAUAGAUACUGCAUCAAUAAUCCUGUAAUAUGUGAUAGCAUGUUUUUUUUUGUGAAUGAUUGGUAUUCUGUAAACAAGUAAUGGGGAUGGACAUGGUGAAAUCAUAAGUUUUAAGAGCAUUUUUACCUUCCUGCACCUUGUAAUUUCUUUCUACUUCUCCAGCUCCUGCUUUGCAUGGUGCGAAGUGGAUAAGAGAAAAAAUAAUUCUAACUCGUGAACAUGCUUUUGCAGGAUGGAUCUACAUAGAAAUGGCACUAAUGGUUCUGACCACAGCUCUUGCGGGCCACUGACAAACUACUACAUCCCAGAUUACAUACUGAAGCCAGACUCUGAACAAGUCAUUGUUGAUAAUGCACCAUCCUGCCCUGUGGUAGUCUUCAUCAACUCUAGAAGUGGUGGCCAACUGGGGAGCAGUCUGAUCAAAACAUACCGUGAACUUCUCAAUGAAGCACAGGUAAACAGGCUACCAGUUUGGAAAAGCUGUAAUACUGAAAAAUGUGCUUUCCCUUGCACUAUACUAUAAUAGUACUUUAAACCAUGUUCUCAUUGUUGGAUCCACUCAAUUUUCAUAGGUUUUCGAUCUCUCAGAGGAGGCUCCUGACAAGGUUCUGCACAGAUUAUACAGCAACUUUGAAAAGCUCAAGUCUAACGGUGACCUCCUUGCUAUUCAAAUUCAGAAGAACUUAAGACUGAUCGUGAGUAACCUACUUAUAAAUUUAUUGCAUCCAAAUGAAUUUCUGGUUGGAUGUGUCCUUUUAUUAACAAAGGAGCUUUGAAAUAGGUCGCUGGUGGUGAUGGCACAGCAAGUUGGCUGCUUGGAGUAGUUAGUGACCUUAAGCUUUCACAUCCACCACCUAUUGCUACUGUGCCUCUAGGAACUGGAAACAACCUUCCUUUUUCAUUUGGAUGGGUACGUCAAUGGCAAUUGUUUAUUUUCAACAUUCAGAUUUCCUAAUGUAUGACAAAUACCUCUAUGUUUUUGUGUGUGGAAAUUCACAUGAAUGAAGAUGCUGGUUAAAGUUCUUGUUUGACUGUUCACUAUGUACAUAGCCAUAAAAGUUAGAAAUAAAAAAAAUAUUUUUUUAUGAAACUGCUACCUACUGCAACUCUUUAUAAGAAAACUGCUAUGCCUGAGCAUCAGUGCCUGUUAAGGAAACUUUUCAUUUUGGUAUAGAAACUUUGGAGGAUUUGUCAGUAAAUUAGUAUAAUGUUUGUUCCUAUACAAUUUUGCCUGUUCCGUGGCCUUGUUCUUUGGGCAUUAUGUUUCUAUACCAAGUUUUACCUUUUCAAAAACAAUAUUCAAUUUUAAUUUGACUUUUUAACUUUUUGAAAACAAUAUUCAAUUUUAUUUUGACUGCAGGGAAAAAAGAAUCCAGCUACUGACCAAGCGGCAGUGAAAUCAUUCCUGGGCCAAGUAAAAAAAGCAAGGGAAAUGAAUAUUGAUAGGUACUGUCUUGCUUGAAAAGAAUUAAAGAUAUUAUUUGCCAUGAAACCAGAUCAGCUCUUUCAUCUAUCUCAUCUGAUGAAGUAUUUUAUGCUCUUCUACAAUUUUUGUUCCACUCAUCCCAGAGCAAGAUUAGUACAUGUCCUCUUCAGCGUAUGGAAGAAAACACUCACAUUAGCUACUUUUCUGUUUCAGUUGGCAUAUCAUCAUGAGGAUGCGAGUUCCACAGGAAGGCCCGUGCGAUCCUAUUGCUCCCUUAGAUCUUCCGCAUUCGUUGCAUGCAUUCCACCGAGUAUCAGCCUCUGACUCUCUCAAUGUGGUAAGAAAUAUCUUCCAGAUGCAACCUUUUUUGUGUUACUUGUUUUGAUUUUUAAGGUAAAAGCACCCAUUGUUAGUCACUCUUUAGUUCUGAGUGCCAAUAUAUAUACCAGCAUCUUAUUUUACUUUCUUUUUCAGGAGGGCUACCAUACAUUCCGUGGAGGAUUCUGGAAUUAUUUUAGCAUGGGUAAGAGUUCCUCUGUUCAUUCUGUUCCCAGACAAGCACCAUAAAUUUAUUCAUCAAGAACGUUGGCUGGUGUACUUAAGGUACAGUAGACGGAAACUUUCACCAUUAGUAAUCAGGACUAUGUAUCAGAACUUGAAGUAUCAGAGAAUUGUGAUGUCCCGGUGAUGAAAAUCAAAAGCUGUUUGUCUAGCAAAUCCUUAAGUAUCCUGAUUUGAAUAUUGGAAAAGGUUAAUAACCAUGACCAUCAUAAUUUAAACAUACUGCAGGAAUGGAUGCACAAGUAUCAUAUGAAUUCCACUCUGAAAGGAAGAGAAAUCCAGAGAAGUUCAAAAACCAGCUAACAAAUCAGGUAUAUUUUCAAGACAGCUCACUUUUUUUAUUGGUUAUUCAGAUUUCCAAUCCCCAUCCAUCUUCUUGGUGUUCGAUGGUUCUUGAAAUGCAUUUCUUUGAUUCAGGGUACAUAUGCUAAGCUUGGACUUAAGCAAGGAUGGUUUGCUGCUUCCCUAACCCAUCCUUCUUCAAGGUACUUUGUCACUAUUGUAGCUACAAUGCUUCUGAUCCUGAUUAUAUUAUACUACCAGCAUGUUCAGUAUAGUAUCGAAGUAUGGAUGAGACACUAGUUCUGUCUGUAUAUGGAACUCCUGAACUGCACCAUCAGCUUUAAGAGUCACUGUAUACCUUGACCUCAGAUCAUCAGAUGCAUAUGUAUGACUUAUACUACUUCCACUUUCAGGAACAUUGCACAACUUGCGAAGGUGAAGAUCAUGAAAAGACCUGGUCGCCAAUGGGAAGAGCUUAUAAUUCCUCGCAGGUAAAUAAUCUCUAUAGCAUCUGCACUGUCAGCAGUAUCACUGCAUAUGUUUCAUUUGUACCUCUGAAAUCCAUGCUGCUUCCCAUGAUGAAAACUGACAAAUGUUAUCCAUCUUCUUCAGCAUUCGGUCAAUUAUCUGCCUCAACUUGCCAAGUUUCUCAGGAGGAUUGAAUCCUUGGGGUACACCUGGAACGAGGAAAGUACAAGACGUGAGUUUCCUUGAAACCUUUUACCAAUUUGUUGUUGUGCUGAUGACCUACUAUGGGAAGAUAUUCAUAAGUUUUCGUGGCAUUAUGCAGAGAGACCUGACGGCACCUUAUGUUGACGAUGGCCUUAUUGAGGUUGUUGGUUUCCGUGAUGCCUGGCACGGGCUCGUCUUGCUGGCACCUAAUGGCCAUGGAACCCGUCUAGCACAGGUGAAGUACUGCUCUGCUGUAUCAACACCUGGUACACACUGCAGCUAAUUCAAGAUUACUGACGGCAUUUACUCGCAGGCCCACCGAAUCCGUUUCGAGUUCCACAAAGGAGCGGCCGAGCACACGUUCAUGAGGAUCGACGGUGAGCCAUGGAAGCAGCCUCUCCCCAAGGAGGAUGACACCGUCGUCGUGGAGAUCUCUCACCUCCGCCAGGUGGCCAUGCUGGCCUCUGAAAACUGCAGGUCGAAGAGCGUCAACGACCCCUCCUCCCCGUCGUGCCACAGCCACGACGACGACGACAGUAACAGCCUGGAGGACGAGGACGAGUGGGAGGACGGGAGGAAGAAGUUCGGUGCAGCUGCCACCUUCAAGAUCCCUGACGAGGUCGAUAUAGCUCAUCUUAGCUAGAGCUCGUGCUUCUUCUUCUCUGUUCGUGCUGGGUUGGGCACCCGGUUGGAAAGUUCAGAAGCCAUUUCAGAAUGUUCACUGCUGCUUAGUGAUACUGCACCCUUUUUUGGCUUUGGGAAGUUCAGAUUCCGGAAGUUAACAACUGCUGUUAGCGAUACCGCUCUCUAUUAUCCUGUAAAUUUCAAGUUCAACGGAGGUGGGAAGGUGAUCGACGGAUGUACAUGGGCAAUUGAAUCAGGGCUGUUGCCUUUCCAUCUAGCGGUUAGGAAUUCAACAGAUUUGGGGCCUCCCAUUUGUCGACAGAUGGCUAGACUACUCCUUUAUGUUAAUUGGUUGUUCUGUUGCUAUCCGCUGGUCUUGACUCUUGAGUACGGGGGCGGUAAUGAAAAGGAUGCCUUUCAUUCAGAUCGUCAAAUCCAAAGAGGCAAAACAUUUACUAAUCGCUAUUACGUGAGUGACUCGGUGGUAGCAUUCGUUGUGCCGUGUUAAACCAGACAUGGCACGCAUGUUUAUCCAACUUUCGGAGUUGAAUUUCAAGUAUUUUGCGCCUUCAAGGGUACACAUAUAUAAUCUCCAUUUUUGCUCACAACGUUGUUUCGUGAAGCUUUUGAACACAUUGCAAAAUUCUCAUGCAAAAUCUCACAGCAUUUAUUUGUAUAUCCUUCCUCCGUUUUCAAAUAUACGAUUUAACCAAAUAAUUUGUACCCAAAAACGUAUGAUAUAUACUUAUAAAUGAACGAAUAAAACAUUAGCAGACCUGUCAAGCAGCAAUGAAGUUUCAUUUAGGUCUAUAACUUCGACUAUGACGAGUUCACCAUCAAAAUUUCCUCUAGUGACACGCACAGGUGAUCGUUUAACUUUGUUUUUACUGGAAACAUGUGGGGCAAAGUCUUCGGAUCUGAACUUUUUUUUAAGAAAGAAAGAAACAGCAACAAAAGAAGUUUAUGUACAAAGAAAAAUUAAGAGUAAAUUACAUCCACCAUACAAUAACUUGUAUGAUUAUAUCACUUUGAUCCAACAAGUAGCAAAACGUGCAAAAUAAUACGCGAACUUGUUAAAUGUGUGCAUAUACGGUCACAUGUACUCCACGUAGAUGUAUUUUACGACCAUGUCAAGUGAUGUGGACAGUUUUAUGCACAUAACCUCCUAUCAUUAUCCCCUUCUCAUCUAAGUCUUAAUUAUCCAGGUGUGUAUCUCUUGUUUGUUUAACAUUGGUGAAUAAUAUAUCAUGCAAAUAUUAAGAAAAAACUAUGAUGAUGGUCAAUUAUUGCUUCCAUAAUCGCUGGAUCAGGUGGUACUUGUUCCCUAAUCUCUGAUUCAUUCACCAAAUUGAAGUUGGCUCUAGCAUUUAUUUUCUGAUUCGAUCUUAUGGAACAAGGUGGGCGCUCCCUCCUUUAUACUACUGUUUUUCCUUGUUUUUUUUUCUCUCUUCCGAAUCACAAGAACUUGAUGUGCAUGCGCAGGUGGCUUGCAAUUAGAAUAGAGUAGGGAUAUUUUUUUAGGGAACGAACACAGUAUGGGUUUAACACAAACCUUUUUACUCUACGAAUGGUGCGUGUCAUCUGUAUCAAAUUUGAAUAUGUCUCCGUGUGUGAACAUUUAUGAUUAGGUGUAAACAAGAUUACAGAGCUGAUGAGUGGUUGUGCUCAUGUGUCAAUUAGUGUGAACAAAAUAACCGAGGCUGCAUGCAUAUUCCAGCAUGUGCGAACAAGCACUCGUAUGGCACAUAUAAACUAGCCGGAUUAUGGAAUUUAGUAAAUCAAAUUAUUAUGGAUUAUGUUUAUAUAUUGAUGCAAAUAUACUAUAUAAUUGUGCUUCUAAAAGAAAUUCAUUUAACUUAUUUGAAUCCACAGUGCAAUCUCUUCUACAAGCAGUAAAAUUGUUGUUGUAUAUCAUUAUUAAGGCAGGUUUCACCCGAUAUGGUCACCCAUCGUCAAAGUUUUGCUUUAAUCGUUUCAUCAAUCAGUUCACUUGCGCACAUGGUUAAGACUUAAGACCUACGAUAAAGGAUAACGAUAGGGGUUACGCGCAUAAAACUGUCCAAGUCACCUGGUGGCUAAAUACAUCUACUAUAUGUGACUGUGUAUUCACACAUUUGACAAGUUUGCGUAUCUAUCUGCACAUUUUGCUUCUUGUUGAACCAAAGUGAUACAAUCGUACAAGUUGUUGUAUAGUGAGUGUAAUUUACUCAAAAAUAAAUAAAAAAACUACAUAAAUAGAGGGCAUGUUUAUUUUUCUCCCUUUCGAACGGAAGAAAUCUACAGCUAACAGUAACUCUAGCAGGCCCUCUAAACAACCCCUAUUUAGAGGGUAAGUAGAAAAAUACAUUUCAGCAGACCCUCUAUUUAUCUUCCUAUUUUGGGAGGUCUCUAAAUUUCCCCCUCCCCUUCCAUUCCUAGAGGAUCUAUAGGAAGACCUCUAGUUACGGGGCUAUUGCUGAAGUUGGAACUGUGACCCUUAAAAAGAAUGUCCAUUUAACCUUUGCGCGUUUUGAUUUAAUGCUAUUGCUGCGGUUGCUGUUAAUACCGUGUUCGAUCAGAAAUACCUUCAGUCACGUAAUCUGUCAGAGCCACGACGCCAGGCAGAACGCGGCGCGGCCGACGUCACACGUGAUGCGAGCGAGGAUGGAGAUACGAUAGCGACGAGAAAUGACGGCUUCUGGAGAGCUCUGUUCCCGCAGCGAACGCCCGCUGUUUCAGAUAACCACGUUCCGCGCCGCGCGCGCCCACCAGAAACGGAAGAGACAAGCAGCCCAACGGCGGCGCCGUCCUCCCCUCUCCUUCCUUCCACGCACCAGUAUAAAAGGACCCGCGCCUCUUCGCACUCCACGUCAAUCCACAAAGCCAAGAUCACAGAGUUCGGUGAUUUCGUGUGGGAGGAGGAGAAGAGCGAAGCGAUGAGCUUGAGGUACAUGAGCCGGGUGGGCGCGCGGGCGGCGCAGGCGGUGCGAGAGAGCACCGGCAGGUCCGUCAAGGACAAGGCGCAGUCGGCCUCUUCGUCGGCCUCGAUGGCGAGGAGCGGCAGGGCGGCCGGGUCGGUGGACUCGGGCAGGGUCAGCGCCGCCGCGGCGGCGAGGAGGAAGGCGGAGGAGGAGAAGCGGCGGCGCGCCGAGCAGGCGCUGCGCACCGUCAUGUUCCUCUCCGUCUGGGGUCCCAACACCUAGAAUUUGCAGAUCAUCUGCGUGUAAUUGCUGCUAGCCUACUACUGCUGUGCUUGCGCAUGUUUCUGUUCGAGAUGAAGGAAUUGUAAAUGAUCUGAUAUAUGGACACAAAUCGAUCUGUUGAUUCUUCGAACAAGGCUCUGGCUCUGUUGCUGAUCUCAAGAUGUCUCUGAUGUGUCUGCGUACCUAUUCGUUCUCUUUCAAAUCUGUUUUCUAAAGUGCUGCCAAGGUUACGCACUGCUGCGACUGCUUGUUUCCUCGAGCUGUCCGCAGUGCGUGGCGUUCUCUGUUCGUACGUGAAUAUUGAUCGACGGUUCCGUGCAAUCCUCUACUGACAAGAGCUAGUCUUGUAAAUGGUUAGAAUGACAGAAUCAGGGCAUCAGCUCUGAACUCUGAAUUUGCAAUUUGGCAUCAACUCUGAACUCUGAAUUUGCAAUCUGAGGAAGAUUCUUAAGCAGGUCACCCGUGCUCUCCACUUUCAGUUCAGCAAGGCAGUACACAUACCUCCAGACCUCCCCUUUCAUUCUUUAGUUCGCCUCCUCUCCCGUCAGAGGUGAGAAUGUCCAUUGUUGAAGGUCAGCUUGAGCAGCAACGAGGAGGGACGCCUCCCCGCCAGAACAGGUUAAGGCACGGAUCCGAUGGUGGCACGUCAGGGCCGCCAUGGUGAUGAGGGAAGCACGCGCUGCUCGCCUCCCGGUUGCUUCCUAAUUAUCAUCCAUGGCGGUGUCAAGGCGAGGGCGGUGGCUCGGUGCCGACGAGACGGCGGCGCCCAUGAAGCCUACGCGUCAGCUCCGGCGACGCGGGUGUGCGCGUUCUCUUAAGUAAGGUGGCCUGGGACUCGGGACGGCGAGGAUGGCGUCCCGCCGCCGGCAGCGCGGCCUCGCCGGCCGCCAUGACUCCGGCCAACGAGCUUUUUCAUAAAACCCCCUGAAAAUAUUUUCACAAACCCCCUUAUUUGGAUCGCGAUUAAUAGUUACGAUCCAAAUUAGGGGGUUUUAUGAAAACUGCGAUCCAAUAGUUUUCAGAAACGCCCCUACUUUGGAUAUAUAUUUUGCAGAAAAGCCCUCUUCUCCUCCGUUUGGCAUCUCGUGCUAUGCUCUGACGAUCCGCCGGCGCCGAUGGCCGCCGCAGAUCCCGUGCAGUGGAAGCGCAAGUUCCAGCCCAACCCUUCCCCUUCAAACCCUAGCACCGUCUCUUCCCCUCUUCUGGUCCAAAGCGAGAUUCCCCGGCUCCGAUUUCAGUUGUCGCCGAUCCGGCGCCCUCGUUCUCGUUGGGUCAAUGGUGGCCCGCGAGACGACACGGAGCCUUCGAUUAUUCGAUAGCAUGGGCAGGUCCGUGAAGGACAAGGCGCAGUCGGCCCCGUCUUCGGCGUCGAUGGCGAGGAGCGGCAGGGUGAGCGCCGCCGCGGCGGCGAGGAGGAAGGCGGAGGAGGAGAAUCGGUAGCGCGCCAACUCUGAAGUUAUCAUGUGCCAACAAAAAUUGUGCUGAAGCACGUGACACAUAUGCAGAUCUUGUACAGACACGACUCUCUGACUCUGCUCCGACUGGUGACGAAACUGGAGAGCAAGAACGCAGCCUAAUUUGGUCCCCAGCACACGAGGUGCAUCACGUUCUCGGCCUUCUGCGCCUUCCUCCUCCUCAGCUUCUCCACCGCGACCGCCUUCUCCAUGGACACGCUGCUCCGGCUGCCGCCAGCCCCGGAGACCACCUGCCCUCCCUGCGGCCGCUGCGCCGCUGGUGGCGCCGUCCCCGCAGGCUUCACAGCGCCGCCAGGCAUCGGCACCGCCCUAGCCGCCGGCUGCCUGGCCCGCACGGCCUGCGCCGCCCGCAACACCACCCUGCUCGCGUACCUCAGGCUCAUCGAUGCCAGUUGCUCAAAACUCUGAAACUAUAGGUGCUAUUCCGAAUUCAGUGAAUUUUUACUGUGUUGAUGAUGGAAGACGGCGCGCGCAGGCUGUAUGUAUAUGCAAAAGGGGAGAGAGCACGGCGCCAUGGCGGUUCAGUUCCGAAACCGUCAGGCUGAUGGACGAGCGGCGGCUCUGCACGCGGUUUCGCUCCAUGAUUUUCUUUUCCGGUGUGCGCGAAUAUGUGGGAGCGUCCUGCAGGUUUCGAGGACGACGGGCACGGAUGCUCUCGUCAGCGGCCGGAUCUUCAGUGGCCAGUGGCCCGCUCAAUUUGCCGAGUGAGAACAAAGCGAAAUGGUGCUUGGUGCGUGCGGACAACUAGUGAUGGGUGGGGAAGGAUUGCUAGGGGAGAUGGAUCAUGGAUGAUGGGGUGCUCUCAGUUGGGGGCCUGUCAGUUUCAGGGUUAUCACGUUGAGGAGGCGUGAUGUGUGCUAGCUUUAUUGCUUGUUUCUGCCGCUUGCAGGUUUGAAGCACACGGGUAGAGGAAUGGGGUGGGUGGGGUAGAUGGGGACUUUUCAGUUAUCCUGUGAAAUUUCCGGCCAAUGAGUGACUUGAGCUGACUAGACUACUAGGAGAAAUGGAUUAGGACAAAGUGGUACACGGUCACUGACACUGUACCAGUGAGCAUAACUGAAGACCAUACUGUUCUUCCCAUUUUUGGCAGGAUAUAACUGAAAGAACUUGAAAAUCCUAAUCAUGAAAACUUUGUAACAAACAGAGAAGCAGCUUUCAAAUUGGACUUACAAUUUUCAAGAUCCUAAAUUAACUUCUCAAUUGGAAGUUUCAAAUUUUGUCUUAGAACUUCCAAUUUCUUAAAAUCAGCACCAGAAAAUUCAAAUUCCAGGUUGUCAACUAAAAAAAUGGAUUUGAUGCUUUCUGAAAUAGAGUUUUUCAUUUCGAACAAGUACUACUAUUCGAAUGACAUAUUUUUCAUUCAUUUCAACAUUCAACGGGGGUUUGUAAGAAUGUGACCGGGGUUGUGGAUAGCAAUAAUGGAACAACAUCAUUCUUGGCAUAUGCCAAGAAUAAUAGACGCAACCAAAUAUAAACAUGGAGGAUGAAAUUAUGCAACACUAAGCUCUUCGCAAAUGGACAUCGUGUUGAUAAACUUUGCAUUGCACACAUGCUCAUCCAUACACGUUGGAGCUUGGAUGCUUCAUCCAUACGCCGACACGAACAGUUGGCACACCAAACUAUACACAUUACUAGUAGUACUAAUGCUAGCAUCUAACCUAACUGCUUAUGAUCAACUAAAGUCAGUUGUUGGGUCCCCAGUUGCUGAGGUACAUGACAGUCCGGAGCUCCUCCUCCUGCUGCCUCGCUUUCCUCCUCGCGGCCGCCGCCGCGGCGCCACCGGAGGAGGACGAAGGCAGCGCGUGCGCGUUGCUGCCGGAGCCAGUCCCAGCAACGGCGCCCCUGGCGCGCUGCUGGGCCGAGCGGAACGCGUAGUUCCAGCGGCAGAGCCCCGCCUGGUCCUUGAGGGCCUCCACCGUGCCCACGCUCAUCGCCGCCGCCCACGACGACGCCUUCGCCUUGCCGCCCCCGCUCGCCAUGCGUGUGUUCAGUGUUCACAGCUGUGUGUUGGAUCGAUGUGGCUCGAUGCGUUCGGCUGCUUGGCUCCUGUUGGGAUAUGUUAGGAAGAUGGUGCCGCGCGGCUGGUGGUUUUAUAGGGGGCGAGUUCGUCGGCCCCGGAACUUUGCCGGCCGGGGACGGGAGUCUUGAGACUUGGGAGUGUGCCGUCAUCGUCGCUGCCGAGUACCACCUGUACACGUACGCGCGCGUGGUUUUGGGCGCGUGGAAAACAGUGGGGGGAGCUCCUGAAAACCGGGUGCAGGCGCAGCGCAGAGAUUGCGUGGCAGAGGUUGCGGCGCGGACGCCGAGGAUUAACGGCCUCUCUCUCUCCAGGCGGCUGCUGGCAAAAUGCGGCGCGGCUUGUGUUGUCAGUUGUCGCCUGUCAGAGUGCUGGCCACUUGAUCCGAAUGCGGCUCGCGCUUUUCCAGCCGUGUCCAACAGCUCAGCUCUGUCAGGUACCGGGACCCGGCCGUGUGCCGCGGUUACGUCGCCGUCGGCCUCGACCUCCAGUACAGUACGGUCGACCGCGGUUAAGUCUUUCUCUGUACACGUAGGCUCGCGUUGAGAUGUGCCAAAUUUUACAGCUCAUCGAAUCGAUUUUUGACUGAAUCGCACAUGAUAUUCACCGAUCCAUCGAUUCCCCUCACCUAAACCAUAUUAUUUCCACUACGCUUUCGGUCUUCGACACGAAUCUCAGUCGACUGUGAGUAAUCGCACGAGUGAACCGCAGGUUUUUACCACGUGCUCUCGGGCACGGUGACGGUGGGGGCGUGUUUCUGAUGCUAAAGUUUAGCUCUUUUCACAUCGAAUAUUCAGAUGCUAAUUAGAAGGAUUAAAUAUGAGUUAAUUAUAAAACUAAUUGCAGAAGCCUGGACUAAUUCGCAAGACGAAUCUAUUAAGCCUAAUUAAUCCAUCAUUAGUAAAUAGUUAUUGUAGUAUUACAAUGUUAAAUUAUGGAUUAAUUAAGUUUAAUAGAUUUAUCUCGCGAAUUAGCCUCCGUAUAUGUAAUUAAUUUUAUAAUUAACCUAUAUUUAAUACUUCUAAUUAGUAUUAAAUAUCCGGAUAUGAUAGAAGCUAAAAUUGAGCCUCUAGGGAAAAAAAAACACCCAAUCAGCCAAUCUACGGGAGACGGGUCAGACGGGCAGGGGAAACCAGCGGGCUCGAGGACAUGGUUUCCACGAGACCAGGGGCUUGGAGUCCUGGACUUUGGUUCGUUCCAACGAACGUUCGCUGAUGCAGAGCGUAAGGCAGAAACGAGAAACCCCACUCGAAGACAUCUGCUCUCGGACGAGUUGCAUAUAUGAGUCCUGCAUCUCGUACGUAAAGUACCAAAUAUUUGCUGCUGCUCCUCAUGGAUACCCAAUUAUACAGCACGCCGGAAUUAUUGGUACCAGGGUUCUCUCUCUUUUUUUUCCUUCUGUAUUUCUUUGGAUCUCAUUGCGUUUCAUGACGCGGUGCCUGAAAUAUUCUAGUAGUUUGUUUCUUCGAUCUUAGAAUGGGAAAUUGGGAAUACAUGUUUUGCGUUGCAUCAUUCUCUGCCUAAUUGAGUUAUGGUUCUUCUGUAGAAAAUGUAAACUGACAGGCUGAAAUGAAGGCUCUGCUUUCUCGAUCUUACCAUCACGACGAGAGUAACUUGGGGGUUAUGAGUUAAUGUGGCCUGACUGAGAAAUGCAAGGCAUGCAAGUUCUAAACAUCACUUGGUCUUUUUGUCUUGCUAGUUGGCCUCUGCUGAUGAACCAAAUGGAGACUCCUUCUAUUUUUUUUAAAGAAAGCAGGAGCACUGCCGAUUUAUUUAGUAAAUUUAAUAUUACAUAAAUCAAAUAUCUCUUGCAACGAUAAUAAAGAUAACAUAGAUAACUAAUGGCUACUCAAACCUACUCAAACCGGGUUUCCACACGCCCUCCGUCGCAUGUUAAUGUCUUCUUUAAUCAAUGAGAAGAUCUGAUCUGGGCGCAAGCUCUUGCCUCGGACACUCCUGUUCCUUCUUUCUAUGGGAGUGUUUGAUCCUUAGAUUAAAGUUUAGCUCAGGUCACAUCGAAUGUUUGGAUGCUAAUUAGGAGUAUUAAGCAUAGGCUAAUGAUAAAAAUAAGAGGGCUAAUUCGCGAGACGAAUCCAUUAAGCCUAAUUAGUCCAUGAUUAGCACAUGUGAUGCUACAGUAAACAUGUGCUAAUUAUGGAUUAAUUAGGCUUAAUAGAUUCGUCUCGCGAAUUAGCCCACAUUUAUGCAAUUAUUUUUGUUAUUAGCCUAUGUUUAAUACUCCUAAUUAGCAUCCAAACAUCUGAUAUGACCCAGGCUAAACUCUAGCUCAAGGAUCCAAACACCUCUUAAAUGUGCUAUGCUGAGUACAUCAAAAUGGCAGUAGCUGAUCUUCUUUCUUUUGUUGUGACCUCCCCUAAUGAUUUCUUCCACCAUUCCUCCACGUCAACCUCAUCCAUCUCAGGCACCUUGAUUAUUCCUUUGGUCCAGUUACUUACUAACAACCAUACUUGCCUAGCGUAAUUGCAUUGCAGGCACAAGUGUGCUGUUGUCUCUUGCUCUUGAUCACACAUUGCACAUUCACUAUUGCACGGUCAAUUUCUUGCUGCCAGUUUAUCAGUUGUCAAGAUUUUGCUUUGCACCAGGAGCCACGCGAAGAAUUUUUGCUUGCCUUCAGCGUGUGCCUGCCAAAUCGCCUUACUGUAAAAGGUGUUAUAAGUUCCUUUUAGCUGUGCCAAGUAUGCAGACUUUGAUGUGUAAGACCCAUUGCUAGUCCACUUCCAUACUAUGUCAUCCUCCCUAUCAUUUAGCUGCACAUUCUACACUAAAUCCCAAAGGGUAACAAAUUCAGCCAUCUCUUCUCCUGUGCUCAUUCUCCAUAAUCCUCUAGUCCAAUUGUGAUCUGUAAUAUCUUCUUUAACUGUCUUGUUUUUCCUCCAGGCUAACUUGAACAUCUUUGGUGCAAUAUCUCUUGGUGCUCUACCGUUGACCCAUUCACAUUGCCAGAACCUUGCCUUAUUACCGUUCCCAACUGUUAUUGUUGUACUAGCUUUGAAAAGUUGCUUAUCAAUUUCAUCACAUCAUCACAUGGAGGUGUAGUCCCAACCCAAGGUCUGUCAUCUCAAGUGAAGAGCUCGGCUAAAGGUUUGUAGGUCCAGUAUACCCAGGCCUCCUAGCUCCUUUGGGAGUGCUGUCUUCUUCCAAUUUAAUAGACAAUGCCCACCACUUGCCUCCUCUGAUCCUUUCCACAAGAAACCUUGUCUAAUUUUAUCAAUUUUCUUGUGAGGAAAUAUAUUGGCAUUGCAGUCAGUACAAACCUCACAAGCGUCAACCUUCCAGCUUUGUCCAGCAACUUUCCUUUCCAUGCAGGAAGCUUAGCUGCAACUCGAUCAAUGAAUGGCUGAACCUCCACUCUCUUUAGCUGCCUCAAGCUCAAAGGUAGCCCCAGGUACUUGCAAGGGAAACUUUUCACUGCACAUGGCAAACUCUGCAAGACCUCUUGGAGAUUGAUGGUGUCACAUCUUAUUGGGUAAGCAACACUUUUGUCAAUGUUGAUGUGCAGCCCUGAUGCUCUUCCAAAUGCCUCCAUGAUUUCUUUUACUGCAUCUAUUUCCUCCCUGACUAGAUUAAUGAAGUAGCAUCAUCUGCAUAUAAACUAAUUCUGAUUUUUGCUGCCCGAUUCUGAAUGGUGACAACACUAAGUCAUUUUCUGCCAUCUGCAAUAGCCUUUGCAAUGGUUCUAAGGCAAGGAUGAACAACAUCAGGGAUAAUGGAUCCCCCUGUCGAAGCCCAUUUCGAUGUUUAAAUUUUGUUGUCUUUGAUCCAUUAAUCAUUACUGAUGAGGUGGUUGUGGAGAGUAAUGUAGUGAUCCAUCCUAUCCAUCUAGUCCCAAAUCCCAUUUUCUCUAAUACCUCCAUCAAGUAAUCCCACCUUACUGUGUCAAAGACUUUUGCUAUGUCUAGCUUGAGGAACAAUGUUGGCCUCUUUGCUCUGUGCAGCUCUCUUAUGAGGUUUUGUGUGUACAAGAAAUUAUCAUGUAUACUCCUCCUUUUAGUCAAUGCACUCUAGUUUCUAGACACUUACUCAUUCAGGCAUUUUGAUAAUCUUGCUGCUAGCAUUUUGGAUAUGAUCUUGGCAACACUACUGGUUAAGCUUAUAGGUCUGAAAUCUGACACUUUUCUAGCCUCUUCUGUCUUUGGGAUUAAGACAAUGUGUGCUGAGUUGAGGAGGUUGAAGUGUUGUGCAUGUUGAUUGUAGAAGUACUAUACUGCCAACUUGAGAUCUUCUUUGACUAUUUUCCCCAACAACUUUUAAUUUUUUUUUUCCAAUGUAUCCAUCUGGCCCAGGUGCCUUUUCUGAGUGCAUCUCCAUGAUUGUUUCUUUGAUUUUUUCCUCAGUGAAGUCUUCCUCUAAACAUUCUAGGUUGUGCCUCUGUAGAUUCAUAUCCUCCCAGUUCAGUGUAUCCUGCCUAGGGCACUCAUUGGCCAGUAAACCUUGGAAGUGUGUAAGUACUGCCUGUUCUUUUUCUUUUCGCAGAUGGACCAUUCCUUGUGGUUUAUCAAUGCUCUGAAUGAAGUUUUUCCUCCUCCUCCCAUUUACUCCCAGGAAAAAGAAUUUGGAGUUAGCAUCCCCAGCUUUGAGAUAAGUCAUUCUGGAUUGCUGCCUAGCCCUUAGUUUCUCAAUGGCAGUCUUUGCCAAGUAUCUGUUCUUCAAGUCUCUUUUUAGUAAUAACUCAUUUUGGCUUAGUGCCCUGUGUUCUUGUACAACGUCUAGUAUACCAAUCAGUUGCCUGGCAGCUAAUAAUAACAACUUGUUAUUGCCAAUUCUUGCUCUUGCCCAUGCUCUCAAUCUUUUGCUGUCCGUUGCAUUUUUGUAUGUAACCUCAAGAAAGGGUUAUGCAAGCUGAUAUGUUUAUUCCAACUUUCAGUUACCACUUCAGUGAAGCCUCUAAUCUGUGGCCAAAAGGAUUCAAAUCUGAACCCCUUGUAUUGCUUGAUUGCCAAAUCUCCAGUCAGCAACAAUGGGCUGUGAUCAGACACCAUGGAGGGUAGAGCCUGGAGCAUGCAGUUUGGCAGCAUAAGGUCCCAGUCAGCAGUACAGAAAGCUCCACCAAUACACGUGUGAGUGUCAUUAUUUGUCCAAGCGUACUUUCUCCCCUUCAAAUCAAGCUCCUUCAUUUCCAGGUCAUCAAUAGUGCUUCUGAAAGCUCCCAUAAUUCUUCUGUUGAUAUUAUUUGAGCUUUUGUCUUGAGACUGCAGUAUCAUGUUGAAAUCCUCGAUCAGUAGCCCACUUAUCUGAUACAAGUGGCCUAAUUUGCUUGAGCUCGUUAAGGAAUUCAAUCUUUGCAUUGUCUUCUUGUGGUCCAUAAACUACCAUGACCCACCAUGGCAUAGGCGUUGUUGCUUCCAAGCAGGCUGUGACUGUAUUAUAUCUGAAGGAGGACUGCUUCAUUCUGUGGUAGUCUCUAUGUACUGCAAUUAGAGCUCCCCUUCUACUGUCUUGAGCAGGCAAAUAGGCAUAGUCUUGAGAGAACUGGCUUCCCAGGCAUUCUGUCACAAUUUGAUCAGUGAACUCAUCCAGUUUAGACCCCGUUUGGUUCUUUAGUUCGGAUUAAAAUUCCUGUCACAUCGAAUGUUUAGAUACUAAUUAAGAGUAUUAAAUAUAGACUAAUUAUAAAACCAAUUGUACAGAUAGAGGCUAAUUCACGAGACGAAUCUAUUAAGCCUAAUUAAUCCAUCAUUAGCACAUGUUUACUAUAGCAUCACAUUGUCAAAUCAUGAACUAAUUAGGCUUAAUAGAUUCAUCUCGCAAAUUAGCCUCCAUGUGUGCAAUUGGUUUUUGUAAUUAGUUUAUAUUUAAUACUCCUAAUUAGUAUCUAAACAUUCGAUGAUAGGAAUUUUAGUCCGGACCCAAAACCAAACGGAGCCUUAGUUUCCUGCAAACAGACCAGUGUGCUGUUACAUGUCAAGUGUGCUGUUACAUGUCAGCUACCAGGUCUUUGACCACUUUCCUUCUUGGCUUAGCAUUUAGCCCUCUCACAUUCCAGUUUUAUCAAUACACAGCGUUGUUCAUUCAUUUGAACAGUGUAUCCUCGAGUCCCUUCCCAGCUUCAUCAAGACUGCUUCCUCUUGUUGAUGUUCAGUUAGCGUGGCCUGGCCGAGGAAUACAAGGGUAGAUCCAGAUAGUCCCGUAAUUAAAUUGAAUACAGCAUUUGGUUUUUGUUUUGCUAGUUGGCCUCUGCUGAUGAACCAAGUUGGGAUCUGGUCCAACAGGAGAGUUCAGAUUUUUAUGUCAUUUGCCAUGGUUCAUGGCUCCGUCCUAACUCAUAACAUGUUAAUUAGUCCAAAAUGAUUCACGGAGAGCUUGUCAUCAACUCAAGAGCAAUUUUAUUUCCGUUCCAGUACAGUAGCACAGACAUUCAUAUACUGAAACCGAGCGACAGAACUUUUCAUCAUCAUCAUAGAACUAUGUUACAAAUCAGGCGCCAAGGCAACCGGCCAAGUCGAUCUUAAACCGAUCUCGGUUGCCGAAAGCCCAAUCAGAGACACGACCGCUGAAACUGAAAGCCGAGCUCAGUUCGGCCCCCAGCAGCUGAGGUACAUGACGGUCCUCAUCCCCUCCUCGGCCUUGUCCGCGCGCCUCCUCUCCGCCGCCGUUGCCGCCGGGGCCAUCUUCUUGGCCUGCGCGAGGCUGCGCACGUUGGCCUUGGCGUUCCGGUGGACGGACCGCAGGGCGUAGUUCCAGCGGCAGAGGCCCGCCUGGUCCUUGAGCGCCUCCACGGCGCCCACGCUCAUCGCCACCAUCCACGACGCCUUCGCCGCUCCGGCCAUCUCCUCGAGUCCUGGUCUUCUUCCUUCUCGGGUGUACUAGGGAGCUUGCUUGGUGAUCACUGUGAUCAGAGAGAGUUGCUGCGUUGAAGUUGAAGUGGAGAGGCGGGGCUGGUGGGUUAAUAUAGCGAAGGGGGCCGGGAGCGGCGGGCGAAACAGGUGGCUGGGGACGUUGGUUUUCCAGGAUACCGGGGGCUCUCCGGGCUGGUGGCUGGUUGAUUAAGAAUUUUGGCAGCGCACCUUGCUUUCGUCCUGGGGCCCGUGGCGCGCGCCCAUCCCUUCGCCUUUUUGUCUAUUCGCGGCGAGAGAGGGGCUGUAUCUGCUGCGGCUUGCUGCUGGACCACGACGGCGAGGACGCGUGCCGCUGCGGCUGCAGAUAGGAGCGCCACGCAGCUGCGCUGCGAUGAAUCACCGAAACAUGACCCUCUAGGAACGAUUUCCAUAGCAUUAAUCGUAUGGAUACAUGUGGCACUAUAUUCAACGAGAGAAUGAGAAGAGUAAGAAGCUAGAUCUCAUAAAAGAUCCAAUAUCAAUACGAGAAAUUAUGCUAGACAUUGCUAAAUCUUACAAUGGGAGAAGAUGUUAUCUUCAUAAUUGAUGAGAAAUAAAUAUGAUUGGUUGGAAGGAGAGACGAUGAAUGUAUUUUAAGGACCCACACUAAUAAGUUAUAGGUCGUAGAGUGUAAUAUUUUGGUAGACUACCUAUAAAUAUCAUGAGCUGGGACUGACCUGACACGCCAUCACCUUGCCGAUCCCGAGGGACAAUGCAGAGAUUGGCAGCUCCAGGUUGAUUCGUGGCUCAGUGAAUGGAACAGGAUGAAUUAAGAUUUUUUUUAAUCUUUUAAACUAGUACCAGUACGGCAGUACCAGAUUGUGCUAUUUUUCAAAGUACGUAAGAUUUGUUUGCACGAUAUGUUUGCACGUGCUAUUGCUAGCUCAUCUAAAGUUUAGCACUUCCACCCAUUAGCACUCCAGCUUAGAGAUAUGACUAAUGGAUGGAUAGAGCAAAAGUUCAUGAAAUGUCAUUUUUACCCCUUUAUCUCCUCACCUCCUCAUUUCUCUCUCCCCUUUUGGUCUUUUCACAAGCCAUUAGUACCUGUUAGUUUCUCCCCACUUAAUUCUUUUUGCACCUUUUAGGGUGGGCUAAAGUUUAAGAAAAAGCUAGCGCAUAUCAGGUCGCGCCAGUGGCUAAGCACGCGCGACCCGUGCGGCCUGCUACAGCCUCCCUGCAAGGUAGUGGGCUGUCGCGGCCCACACAUUUUAUUAUUUAUUCCAUCUCUUAAAAAUAUGAUUGUCCGUUUUAAAUUCCGAUCACACCACUAUAUUCCAUGUAAUGAGACAAAAGUAGAUCCAUGAUGUAUAUGUUUCAAAUAAGUUUUUAUGCACUAGUAGCUUAUAUUGAUAUAUUGAAUGUGUAGUAGCUAGUUGUGUAUUAAGUAUGCAACCAACAAAUAUAUACAUAGAUUGCUAUAGAAAUAUUUAUUACAUGAUAUUGUUAUAUGUAUGGAGUACCCACAUAAGUUGCCACAUUGUCUUUACAUAGGUUGAUACCAGAUAUACUACAUAAAUUUUUAUGGUGUCUACAUAUAAGUUGUUACACAUUUUUAUAUAUAAGUUGAUACAAUAGUCCCUAUAUAAAUUUGCUAUUAACGAGCAGACAUACCAUAUAUGUUGCUCAUAGCCUUAUAUAAGUUUGAUGCGUCGUCGCUAUAUAUUUUUUUAAGGUAAAUCACGCUAUACAAGCUAUUACAUUGUAUCUAUAAAAGUUCUCUUGGCAUGUACAUAAAUUUUCAUACCUAAAUUUUCAUAUCUAAGUUGUUAAUUUGUUAUAUAGUUUGUACACAAGUUGCUACGUACAAUUAAUACAAGUUAUCUGUCAUAUAAAAAAAUACUUCAAAACAUAUCGAAUAUAGAUCUUGUUUCGUAGAUUCCUUGUAAGAAAUACAAUGGUGCAAACGGAUUUGAAAAUGGACAUUUCAAGUGAGAAAUACGGAUGAUAAAAAAUAUAAAUCGAAACCCCUUAUAAUGUCAGCUAUAUUGUAGCUAGAAAGUGACAUUUGCUAUUUCCUUCGUACAUUCUUCCCACAGGGCGAGCGCAUGAUUGGUUGCGGGAUAGCCAAAGAGUACGUGUCAGAAGAUGACGGGAGUUGCGCGGUUGUUUGUGUGCGCGACAGGUCGCGCCUUGAUGCACCCUCCUAUUAACUCUCCUAUUUGGAUAGACUAAUGCAUAAAGGUGCUAAAUUUUAGCAUUUUCAUCCAUUAGCACUCGUAUCAAACAGACUUUAAGUAGAGUAGCUACGUAAUCGUAAGGUGUGGUGUCACAACAAGCAAGAGCAACGGGACGGUACACAUGGAGAUCUGCCCCAAACUUUAGUCGUGGAAAGAAACUUCUCGCUUUUCUUUAGUGAGUGAUUAAAGUAGAACUUCAGUCAAUUUUUAAACGCAUUAGAUCUCAUGGGGUUUAUGUGCAGAUUGGUAUUUACCACAUGUUUAGAUGCUCUUGGAGUGAAACUGACGUGUUACGGGUGCCGGCAGACGGUUUGGGGGAAAACCGGGGGCUGCAGGGCGUAUCAGGCCUGCAAUCCUACUUGACCAUUUCCCUCUCUCUUUUAAUUUCGUGAUCCCUGUCUAAUUGAGUUAUGGACUAUGGGUCUAUCUGCUCCUGCUCGUCCAGUACAAAGUAGAAAGUGCCAAACUGAUGGGGCGACUGCUGCUGUUUCCCAUCCUUGCAAGACAAGCCCACAUUAAAGUUUUAACCCAAACUUUUGGAGGCCACGAUUAAGUUGUGUGUCUAGAAGAGAGGAGAAUAGGAAGGAGGCCUGAUCCGGGAGGCUGGGAAACUAAAUUCAAUUACACGACCUGGUUCCUAAUUGAACAUAGCUAUGAGCCCAUGACCCCCAUCAGCGUGAGAGAUACGGUGUAAAGAAUUCCCGCCGCCGUGAAAGAGCAGAGUCUUUAACACAUUGAUUCACACAGAAAACUUGUCACGAAAUUGAAGGUUCAAGAUUCGCAUGAUAGUGUAGUAGCAGAAUCACUCGUACACAGCCGAAUUAAAGUGGAAGAACUUUUCAUCAUCAUCGAUUUGUCAUCACAUAUUGACAAUCAGGGCAGAGGAGCAACCAGCCAGGUCUCAAGCCAAGCUCGGUUGCUCAAAAUCUGAAGAAACAAGACCCAUGACGAUUAAUUAGGUCCCCAGCAGCUGAGGUACAUGACGGUCCUCAUCCCCUCCUC
rnacentral:lncRNA from 1 species